rnacentral:lncRNA from 1 species
AGGAGCAGAAGAUCCAGCAUUCUCCAAAGCCCAUGCAAGAAGCAGGAAUUGCUGUAAAGAAAGAUCAACUCCUUAGCCUGGCCCAGUCCAUGUGUCUAUGUCCUUAUGUGGCAGGACUGAGGAGAAGGAAGAGAAAGAUGAAUGAGGCAGGAAGAGAAAGAUGAAUGAGGCAGGACUGCAUUUUUCUGAUAAGGAACUGCUGCCUUCUGCCUUCAAGCAGUGCCACCUGUAACAGCAAUGGCAUUCUUAAAGAAAGACUGACACAACUGGUCACGUGGCAUCUCUGCAUCAUUCUUAUGUUUUUUUAGCUCACCAUUGUAGGUGUAGUUAGGCCUUAGAAAUAUGAAUCUCUUUUGCAAUAAGUGCCUUGAAAGGAAGUUGCCAAGAUACAGUGAAUGGAGUCCACAAAUCCAGUACUGAUCUGAGAAGGCUGAUCUUCCUGUGCUUGGAGUCCUGUUUCAUAGAGAUGACCACACAUGAAACUAGGUUAUGCUCAGCAAAUAUGUCUGAAUAUAUUGAGGUAAAUUUACUUGACAUAUCAGACUUUGACAACAUAAAGAAAUUUAUCAUUUGCCUACAUAUUAUGAAUCCUUAACUUGUAUACAGGUUUACAGCUGAAUAUUUCAGAGUGCCAGGCAUAAAACAUAAGUUCAGUGCCUUGAGUGUGUCUGAGCAAGCAACAGGCUUAGGAGUGGCUAACGUAGACCUGUGCUGAUCAGGCAUAUCCAUAAACUUGGAUCUUAGUGUGUCUUUCUUACAGCCUUCAGCUAAGUGCAGGAGCCACUCUAAGGGUGUAUCAUUAAAGACAAGCAUUAUCGCAAUUACAAGCUGAAGAUAACAAAAGGCUUUUUAUAUUUUCUUUAUUUCUGUCUAGCUGUGCAUGUGUUUCCAUCUUUCAACUGUACUCUCUUCAUCUGAUUUAUAUCAUACAUUAAAUGUUAUCACAAGUCAUGAAUUGUUCUCACUUUAUGUUUAUUACUGCAGAUAACUAUUAUCUCUCACAGUCCUGUUGGCUUUAUCUCUAUCUCUGUGCAUUUCAGUGCCUCCUUUAAUUAUUUAAUUUUAAG